rnacentral:rRNA from 1 species
GUGGGGAAUCUUAGACAAUGGGCGCAAGCCUGGUCUAGCCAUGCCGCGUGGACGAUGAAGGCCUUAGGGUUGUAAAGUCCUUUCGCUGGGGAAGAUAAUGACGGUACCCAGUAAAGAAGCCCCGGCUAACUCCGUGCCAGCAGCCGCGGUAAUACGGAGGGGGCUAGCGUUGUUCGGAAUUACUGGGCGUAAAGCGCGCGUAGGCGGAUCGGACAGUUGGGGGUGAAAUCCCGGGGCUCAACCUCGGAACUGCCUUCAAAACUCCCGGGCUUGAGUUCGAGAGAGGUGAGUGGAAUUUCCUGUGUAGCGGUGAAAUGCGUAGAUAUAGGAAGGAACACCAGUGGCGAAGGCGACUACCUGGACUGAUACUCACACUGAGGUGCGAAAGCGUGGUGAGCAAACAGGAUUAGAUACCCGUGUAGUCC